UGGUACUGUGUUCGAAAAUGCUUUGGAC
rnacentral:sRNA from 1 species